rnacentral:lncRNA from 1 species
UGUGGCGGGUGCGGAGGCGGGGUGCAGCCCCGUGGGCACCGUGCGCUGCUCGAGCUUGCAGGAAAGCCUGUCUCUCCGAGUGUGGCUGGGGAGGGGGCUGGGUUUCUUUUUGUUUCUAGAAGUCCCCUUCACCCUCGUUUGCCCCCGCGUACCGCCGAGAGGAUCGCGUGGAAUGGCUGCAGGGCUCCAGGGCGCACCCCACCCCACGCACGCCCUCUGGGGCGCCAGAAGGCGCGGCCCCGGGGGGAUCCCUGUUCCCAGGAGGAAGCGCGCUCCUGGCUGGUGACAUGUGGAUGACACUCUAUAACUAUCAGAUGGUCCCACAAAUACCAACAUUGCUGCUCCAUCUGAAUCAAAUCCUCCAUACCCACAAGGGUUGUUUGUCCUCUUUUCUGCCUGAUGUCACAGCUGGGAUACCUUGAUGUCACAAAGUGGAAGAUGAAGAGGCAUAGUCUAACAUGUGGAAGAAAAUGUGAUGCUGGGGUCCAGUUUUUCUUGAGUGGUUGUGCAUUUCUAUCUGCUUUUCUUAGCUCUGUUCAUUUCCCUGCUCCAGUAUUCACUUGCUGUUGCCAGGGACCCAUGAGCCUCGGAGUUGAAGUCAAGAUAGCUCCCUGGCUCUGGAUUUUGCAGUAAUGAAUGCACCCACCAAGGUAAUAAUAAACUCGCAGUCUCAUUAC